AGGAAGUUAGUCCAAAUACAAGACCUCUGAUUUCGGCUCAGAAAAUCGCGGUUAAAUCCGCGACUCCCUU
rnacentral:tRNA from 1 species